UCUCAUUUUUUUCUCUGUUCUUAUUUCAG
rnacentral:piRNA from 1 species